CAGAUUCAACGAACAAUGAGUUACCUUGAAAAAAAUAUAUGUACAGAGCAAAAUACUGAAAUGUAGCAUCUCUAAAUUAAUAGAUGUUUGAUAUGGCUGACAUUGUUAGCGCCAUCAGAAUGUAACCCCUCCUUAGUAAUAUGAGAAUCAGAGGCUUUCUUAACUAGCAGCAAAUUAUUCAUCCGCCAAGAGAAGUCACUCAGUAAAGUUUUAUCCUAGUUUGAAUACUGUCCCGACAGAUGGGGCACAACAGCAGAUCUUGACCACAUUCACAACAUGUCUGAUGUCCGCAACCAAAUGCCAUGUCCUUUGGAUUGGUUAUGCAGAUGGGGCAAAGCUGAUUAUCUGCAGAACUUGCUGGAUGACUUGACCCAACAGCAGAAUUGUGUCCACUUCCAACAGCUGAAUUGUGUCCACUAGAAGAAGGUGCACUUGGACGGUAACUACUGUUUUGUGAAGGUUUUGAUGUGCCGAAAGAAGCUGCACCAUAUUGAGGAGGAUGGAGAGCAAUCCUGUCAAUUUCAUUCCCUCUACGAGCACCCAGAAUGUUCAGCUCCAGAGUUGCUUUGUACUGAGAUGGUAUCUCCAUCAAUGCUGACAAGGCAAACUCUGCUUCUUUCCUGGAAAGAGCCAUAUUCUUUGCCAUGAUAUCUGUAAAAUUAACAAACUGGAAAUUGUCAAAGGCCCGAGCAGGG
rnacentral:misc_RNA from 1 species